rnacentral:rRNA from 1 species
UGAGGAACAUGACCUUCGGCGGGGGAUAGCCGGCCCAACGGCCGGGUAAUACCGCGUACGACCACAUGGGGACAUCCCUGAGUGGUGAAAGCAGCAAUGCGCCGAUGGAGUGCCUCGCGGCCUAUCAGCUAGUUGGUGAGGUAACGGCUCACCAAGGCGACGACGGGUAGCUGGUCUGAGAGGAUGGCCAGCCACAUUGGGACUGAGACACGGCCCAGACCUCGUACGGGA